rnacentral:rRNA from 1 species
CCUACGGGGUGCAGCAGAGGGGAAUAUUGCACAAUGGGGGAAACCCUGAUGCAGCGACGCCGCGUGAGUGAAGAAGCGUUUCGGCGCGGAAAGCUCUGUCAGCGGGGAAGAAACACGGUUCGCGAGAGCCGCGGACGGUACCCGACCAAGAAGCCCCGGCUAACUACGUGCCAGCAGCCGCGGGAAUACGUAGGGGGCCAGCGUUUUCCGGAUUCACUGGGUGGAAAGGGAGCAUAGACGGCGAGACAAGUCUGGCGUGAAAGGCCGGGGCCCAACCCCGGGACUGAUCUGGAUAACGCCUGGCUGGAGUACAGGAGAGGUAAGUGGAAUUCCUAGGGGAGCGGUGAAAUGCGUAGAUAUUAGGAGGAACACCAGUGGCGAAGGCGGCUUACUGGACUGUAACUGACGUUGAGGCUCGAAAGCGUGGGGAGCAAACAGGAUUAGAUACCCCUGUAGUC